UGGGGAAUAUUGCACAAUGGGCGCAAGCCUGAUGCAGCAACGCCGCGUGAACGAUGAAGGUCUUCGGAUCGUAAAGUUCUGUUGCAGGGGAAGAUAAUGACGGUACCCUGUGAGGAAGCCCCGGCUAACUACGUGCCAGCAGCCGCGGUAAUACGUAGGGGGCUAGCGUUAUCCGGAUGUACUGGGCGUAAAGGGUGCGUAGGUGGUCUUUCAAGUCGGUGGUUAAAGGCUACGGCUCAACCGUAGUUAGCCUCCGAAACUGGAAGACUUGAGUGCAGGAGAGGAAAGUGGAAUUCCCAGUGUAGCGGUGAAAUGCGUAGAUAUUGGGAGGAACACCAGUAGCGAAGGCGGCUUUCUGGACUGCAACUGACACUGAGGCACGAAAGCGUGGGUAGCAAACAGG
rnacentral:rRNA from 1 species